rnacentral:rRNA from 1 species
GAUGAACGCUGGCGGCGUGCCUAAUACAUGCAAGUCGAGCGAACAGACGAGGAGCUUGCUCCUUUGACGUUAGCGGCGGACGGGUGAUUAACACGUGGUUAACCUACCUUUAAUUCUGGUAUAACUUCGUGAAACCGUAGCUAAUACCGUAUAAUAUUUCGAUCCGCAUGGUUCGUUAGUGAAUUAUGGCUUUUCUUUCUCUUAUUGAUUGUCCUGCGCCGUAUUAGCUAGUUGGUAAGGUAACGCCUUACCAAGGCAACGAUACGUAGCCGACGUGAGAGGGUGAUAGGCCACACGGGAAGUGAGACACGGACCAGAGUACUACGGGAGGCAGCAGUAGGGAAUGUUCCGCAAUGGGCGAAAGCAUGACGGAGCAACGCCGCGUGAGAGAUGAAGGUCUACGGAUCGUAAAACUCUGUUAUUAGGGAAGAAAAAAAGUGUAAGAAACAGUGCACGUCGUGACGGUAACUAAUCAGAAAGCCACGGCUAACUACGUG